GAACUUUCUGCGAGGUUCUGAAUCAUUGCUGGUAAUCCUGAGGUUCUCAUCUUUCGGUCUUGAAAAUCAGACUCUGCAACCACAAGACAUGAGCAUUUGAUCAGCACAUGAGAAGUUACCAGAGACCUGGAAGACCCUGGUUCUCUGUUUCUUGGAGGUUCUGUGAGCUAUCACUAUUCCUUCAGAUAUAUUCCUUCAUACAUGUUAGACAAAAAAAGAAGGAAGAGGAGGGAGGGAGUAACGGGGAGGAGGAGGAAGAAGAAGAAGAGACGAAGAAGAAAAGAAUGGAAGCAGAAGAAAGAAACCUUGCUGUAAAGGACAGACACUUGGGAUGUGGACAUCUGAAAGUAGCAUCGUGUAGAAAAUUCAAGAUGAGACUGGUGGACCUAAAAUUCUGGCCAUUAAUUAGGUUCUGAGAAUGCAGAGGCUGCUUUGGAAAACCAAAACUCUAUUACUAAUCCAGGAGAUUUUAUGCUCUGUGUGAGUGUUUAAGUUAAGGCUGCUCAACAGGUGCUUUCCAUUUUGCUGC